UGUUAGUACCGCUCCAUGGGCACUAACGCUGGCUAUGUGGAUCCACUAAACUGGUAUACUUUGUUGUCUCGAAAGACUAAGGGUGUCAAAUGGGUGACCCCUGCAAGUUAGUCAAGCAUAAACUUAUGGGUGACUUCUUAUAUCCUACGUUGGCUACGUAGUUCUGGAGUACAAGGACUGUUACGAAUGGCUCUGCCUAUCUGAUGGGGAAGUCGUCAUCCCUGCA
rnacentral:lncRNA from 1 species